GACGAACGCUGGCGGCGUGCCUAAUACAUGCAAGUAGAACGCUGAAGAGAGGAGCUUGCUCUUCUUGGAUGAGUUGCGAACGGGUGAGUAACGCGUAGGUAACCUGCCUUGUAGCGGGGGAUAACUAUUGGAAACGAUAGCUAAUACCGCAUAACAAUGGAUGACACAUUUCAUUUAUUUGAAAGGGGCAAUUGCUCCACUACAAGAUGGACCUGCGUUGUAUUAGCUAGUAGGUGAGGUAAUGGCUCACCUAGGCGACGAUACAUAGCCGACCUGAGAGGGUGAUCGGCCACACUGGGACUGAGACACGGCCCAGACUCCUACGGGAGGCAGCAGUAGGGAAUCUUCGGCAAUGGGGGCAACCCUGACCGAGCAACGCCGCGUGAGUGAAGAAGGUUUUCGGAUCGUAAAGCUCUGUUGUAAGUCAAGAACGGGUGUGAGAGUGGAAAGUUCACACUGUGACGGUAGCUUACCAGAAAGGGACGGCUAACUACGUG
rnacentral:rRNA from 1 species